UAUUUCUUCUCGUCUUAUUUUUUCGUAAUUUGUAAUUUGUCUACGCACUUAUUUCCGCUUGUACAUAAAGCUUUUAAGAUCGCGCCGCCUCGUCGGUUAUUCCUCGCACGUGUGAUUCAUCGAAUUCGCGAUCGUUGAAUCCCGCCGUUUCUAACCGCGUUCCUUCUCGAGGCUCGAAGCCGCCACGUGGUUUAGUUCGAUACGAAAUAGAAAAUCCUCGAAUUGUGCUGCGAUCUCGUUAAGAACUUGAGAGCGAAGAACGACUAUCUGUUCCUCAAAACUCAAAAUCGUCUAUUUAAUUAUGUGCAAUUGCCUGAGAUGUCAAUAUUUAACCUCUCAUUUUGGCAUGCCUCCAGCUCGUAUCUCGCUGGAGCAUGAAUGCUUGUGGGAGGAUCGUGCACCAAUCGAGGAACAGUUUGUAACGAAACACACUUCGCCAAUAUUUUAUAUAUCCAUCUGCAGAAAGCAGAUGAACGAUUAGAGAAUCAGGAAAAAAAAUAGUUUCUUCUGCAAAAUAAUGCCAGACUUUGCAUUGCUGGACAAGAGCUCUACGACAUGGAUGGACGGUUGGACUAUCAAGAGACACGGUAGUGUCUCGCGCCAAGUACACGCGGAGCGAGACCGACCGUGACUCUUUUACGCGACGUUCAUUAUACAGCCCAGAUCUUGUUCUAUGUAGUUUUUGGGUAUUUUCCAACCUAAGAGGAAAUCUUAAAGGUUGAAAAUUCAACUCCGGCCUAAACAUGAAAGACGCGAGUACUGGAUUAAGAAAACUCCUGAAAAGUUAUCUCUGUGUGGCGUGAAAAAGAAUGACGACAAAAGUCAUGGAAUAUUUGUGCAAGGACGUUACGAUUAUGCAAGUUAGAUAUAAAAUAUAUACCGUGAAAGAUCAAGAUGAUGGCAAUACUAUAGACUCCUAAAAAUUCAUCUCUGGCAGGAAAAAGAAUGACGACAAAAGUCUCUAUUUGGAGUCCUCAUAUUUAUUAUGUUUAGAAAUAUUCAGCAUUUUUUAUUUGAAGAAGAUCAAUGCAGAUGAGAUUAAUGCAAAUGGGAUAAUUGCGCAAAGGACGUUGCAAAUGGAUUAUGCAAGUUAGAUAUAAAAUAUAUACUAAGAUCAAGAUGGUGGCAAUACUGGAUGGCAAAAUGAUGGCAACUAUAAGGAACAGCUGAACCUGAUACAUUCCAUGAUAUUGUUCGUGCAAAGUGGCAAAAUUUGAAUUUAUUCAAGUUGCAAGCAAAAUAUUGAGCGAGAAAAAAAUAUUCGUAACUGGAUUAAGGCCCCUGGUUUACAUUGAUAGUAUAUACAGCGUCAUUCGUGUAAAAUUGUGAACCCCAUGAAUGAUAGUGAAAUUAUUUUUGCAACGUACAGUGUUAUUUUUCGUUUUAGUACUUGCUAAAUUUCGUUACAGUAUAUAUAAACAUCGCCCUUUAUACAAUCAUCCACCAUCUCUUUGACAAUUAACGGAUGAGGCUCAUCACAGACUUCAAUGGAUUUUCUGCAUUCACAUGAUUAAAUCUGUUGUAUGUAGACUGUAUUCAGGCCCUUGAACUGUAAAUACUAUUGCUUUCAUACCGUCAUCUGUUGAUUGCCCAAUGCAUAAAACCAAAUUACCU